UGCAAUAAACUCGUCUUCCCCACAGAGGAAUAGUUUCUCUGCAGAUCCACUUCCCAGCCACAUGGUAAGAAAGCAGGCGAGGCUAUUUCCACGCGUGUUGGAGCAGUCACAGCAGCCAGCAUAGAGACAGCUACUCCGCUCACUGAAGCACAGACAGAACGAAACCUCGGGAGACUUGCCCCUUCGCAUCGAAUUUCAAGUCCGGAAGAACGGAAGGGAGAAAAGCGGGUUCCUGUGCAAUCCCUCAGCACCAGCCCCACGGCCACCACGCGCCCUGCAGUCCCUUGCAGAACCGGCACACGGGAAGUAUCGGAUCUGAGGCACUUUUCCCGAAAGAGUCCGCAGCAAGGUGUUACGGGAUGCACAGUCAGCCGACCUUCAGGCGAGCCUACGUUGCCUGUGCCAGCCCUCACUGAAGGCUUUGGAUGACAAAUACCUGUAAUCACGCCGGGAUUCCCCAGUGCUGCUACUAUCGAAGUUAACAAUGAUGCUUUAUACAGAUACACACAGCCAGAAUUUCUUGCAUCUCAGCUACGUUAUGAGCAGAUUUGAAAUUCCUACUUAUCCUAAUUCCUGCCAACUAUCAGCAGUAUUCUCAAAGCGAUAGCCCCGUUUUCUCUAGUGGAGAGGGCAGACCUUAUACGCAAAGUCAUCUUCAUCAGGUUUGUUGUUAAAUAUUAAUGUCGAAAUUAAGCAAGGUUUAAGCACUGGGCUUUAAGAUUUAUUUUUCAUUACCUCUGCUAUAACAAACCUUUAUUAAUAUGCUGUGAAAUGAGAAAUCUACAGCAUCACUAAUAAAACCUUUUAAGUGGUAAUCCUUCCGAAUCCUCCCUAGUAAUGGCUGAGCAUUUGCAGCCCUAAACCAAUGAAAUUCACACACUCGGCAAUGGAGUGCUGGAGCGAUUAUUACAACAUUUUUUCCAAAGUACCUUAGGCUUUAGAUGAUUAGAGCAUAGUCUUACGUUUUAAACUUUCUGCCAACAGCGAGGCUUUAAGUUGAGUCGGAUUGUGGAUAAAUUGUAGCCUAAUGUACGUUGACAGUUUAAUAACAGGGGUUACUAUCCUUAGUUUGCUUUAUGAUGUAAUACAUCUUUAUAGGAGUCCCCGGAGAGUUCCACUAUGAUUUUCAAGGCAGAGAGAACUCAAUAAACUAAAAUACUCCGAGUAAGGUUUCUAUUUCCUGUAUACUUUGGAAAUUUUCCUGAAAAAUAAAUAGGUGCUACAACUUUUAAAA